UUUGGUCCAAGCCAAUGGGCUUACUCUACAUCAGACUUCCAUUUGAUGCCACCAAGUGAAACCUUUGAGUAGACUGGUGAGAGGGAAGCAAGGUUUCCCAGACUACUUCUUCCAUGGAGUUGGCCCUGGGACUACUCUAGCUGGCAGCAUUCCUCAAUAGAACACUAUAGGUUCUCUCAAGAUAGUUGAUAUUCUCUGUAUCCCAAUGAAGGCACUAAGAGCCUUGGAGCACUGCCCUGUCCUAUAUAAUCUACAUCGUGCCCAGACCUUUGUAAAUAGUGUCUUUAUUAAAUUCUCCUCAAAUCAUUUUAGAUUGACUCUGCCAUCUGUUUCCUGCCGGAACCCUGACGGAUAGAGCAGUCAAGCCAGAGUCUUUUUCCUCUGAAACAACAGAGGCUCACAGUCACUUACAUGAUGGAUGUCAAAACCAUAAAUCUUCCCAUCUUAGUUUAUCCUGGACUCAGACGGCUGGACUCAACCUUCAAAGGUCGCUGGAGUCCAUUUCCCUGCCUCCGGCAAGGCAUCCCACCCUAGCACCGCCCCUGAGUGUGCCUGUCAGAGGAAGUAUAUCUUACUUUGAAGAUCUCCAGGUAAGGCAAGACUAUAACUCACUCCAGGGUGCUCAGCCUCCUUGCCUGAUAAAUCUCCCUGCUGUCUAACACAGCCCCUCCUGUUACAGGUGAAGCCCGUUUCCUUUGUCUGAUCCUUGGUGAGAGCUGAAAAAAGGAUCCGUCAUUCUUGGAAAACGGGCGUUAAAUCAUCCCUUCCUUGCCCAGCUCUGACGUGCAGAUCAAUGAAGGCAGAGAAUCUGCACAUGCUUGUCUCGAGUCAUCAGCCUGGAUGCUCUGAGACUAUGCUGACCUGAACAGUUUGGAAUCCUUUCAGUGAGACUUGAAAUGCAUGCACAAAAAGCAAGUUUACUGAACUGUUGGCAACUGUGCCAAGCAGCAGGAUACCGAGGAGGAACUUGUCAGGCAGGUGAGGCUGGGAAAGCAGAGGUGUCGAGAUAAGGGAGAGCUGGUUUCCAAGGAACUGCCUGGGCAGCUGCAGAGGCAGGCAUGGCAUUGAGAAGGGUAGGGGAGUCUGGAGAGAGGAGCUUGGUGCCAGUUGGGUGGAGACUGGCCUCUUGCCUCCAGGGUCUGACACAUAGCUCUCAUAAAACAGAGUUUGGUUGAUGGAUUGCUUAGGAAAGUCCCUUUGCCUCCUACCUCCCCCACCUGUUGCACCUGGCAUGUGGAGGUGUGAUAUGAACAACCCACACCCUAAAUUAGGAUCCAAACUCCUUCUUUUGUCAAAGAGCAGCAUCUCUGCUUGGAUAGAUUGAUAAGUCACUGCACCUUGAGUCUUCAAAAUUACAU